GCAUGGCUGUGCCUGGUCAUUUCUGCCCCGUGUCUGGGUGAUGCUGACAAAACCUUCUCAGUGAAAUCUGGCCUUCCACACAGACCAGCAGUGACACCAGCAAGAGAGGGGGACCGAAAGCAUAUGUGCAGAGCCUUGGCAGUUUGGAACAGAGAGUGUGCUCACUUGAGAGCUCUGAAUUACUCAGAGUCCUCAGAACACGAAAUGGAGACUGUGAUGAGCACCAUGACGGUCCUGCUCCACCUGGAGCUGCCAGUGGCAGUCUCCAUCAGCUGAACACCUUUAGGUUGUUGUUCUUUCCUCAAGGCAAAACCUGCAUCUCACAAUAUCCUGAAAAACCUCUGAAGUCGGUAAUUAAGGUGGAAAGGCAAGCACAGCAAGUGCAUGGAGGGAAAAUCCCACUCUGGCCAACUGAAAUUUUAUUUGUGCCCUAAACUGGAGAGCAAAACCAAUUAAGAGGAGCAGUGCCCCUGCAUCCUGUGCAGCCUCGCUGUGCCUGAGCUGUGCAGGACCAGAUUUCUUCUUAGGGCAGCACAGCUGGGGGAAAGGUAAACCACAGCACAAGGAGAUGGAAAACAUGAACAGAGAAAGGAGGAGAGGAUGAAAGCAGCACUCAGAGUCAUCUGGGUGCUAGGGAGCAUCUGCUGUGUGUACAGAGGGAAACUGAACACAGGAACGGCUCUGAGGCUGCCACGCUGGAUGUUCAUUGCACAGACAGGACUGGGACAGAGGAGAACAUCCCCACGUUUCCAGCAGGUUGUGCACAACGUGUGGGACUUUCACAGUGGCCACAGACACCAGAAGCAGUGGAUUUUCUAUUCAACAGCAGCACCUCAGAGCUUGUGGACAGAGCUGGAGUGCAGAGAGAGCUGAGACUCUUCCAGCUGGAAGGAUUCUCCAGCCCUCACUUCCUGACAGAGGCCAUGGAGAUGGAGGUGGCAGAUGAUAAUGUAAUUCCACGCACUAACUGGGCGUUGAGGAGUGCAUCAGCAAAGCCUGGAAGGGGAGGAUUGACAAGCUGCUGAUCCAAUCCUCUGACAGUCACAGGGUGCCAUGGAAAAGAGAUCCUUUGUUCUUUGGGAGCUGGUGAGUUCCAUCAGGACCCACCCCCAGAGCCCUGGGCACAAUAUUAAUGCUGACACUGUU